CCCUUAGAUGUUCUGGGCCGCACACGCGCUACACUGAAGGAGGCAGCGUGUACUCCUGGAUCGAAAGAUUUGGGUAACCCGCGAAUCUCCUUCGUGCUAGGGAUUGAGGUUUGCAAUUAUCCUUCAUGAACGAGGAAUUCCCAGUAAGUGCAAGUCAUAAGCUUGCGCUGACUACGUCCCUGCCCUUUGUACACACCGCCCGUCGCUACUACCGAUUGAAUGAUUUAGUGAGGACUUCGGACUGGGACCGAUGCGGCUUUCGGGCUGCAUCGGUAUUCUGGAAAGAUGUCCAAACUGUAUCAUUUAGAGGAAGUAAAANUCGUAACA
rnacentral:rRNA from 1 species